rnacentral:tRNA from 1 species
UGGGGUGUAAACGCGUAAUGGAUGCGCGAUGUAUCGAGGUAGGGGUUCCGUCAUUUCGUCUUCCCUGAUACGCCGUAAGGUCUGCUGGUUCGAUUCCAGCCACUCCAGCCA